GAUGAACGCUAGCGGCAGGCCUAACACAUGCAAGUCGAGGGGCAGCAGACCACUUCGGUGGUGCUGGCGACCGGCGCACGGGUGAGUAUCGCGUUUGCAACCUACCCUUAACUGGGGGAUAGCCCGAAGAAAUUCGGAUUAAUACUCCAUUAAAUUUAAGAACGGCAUCGUUUUUUUAUUAAAGCUCUGGCGGUUAAGGAUGGGCAUGCGUGACAUUAGUUUGUUGGUGAGGUAACGGCUCACCAAGACUACGAUGUCUAGGGGGUCUGAGAGGAUGAUCCCCCACACUGGUACUGAGACACGGACCAGACUCCUACGGGAGGCAGCAGUGAGGAAUAUUGGGCAAUGGACGCAAGUCUGACCCAGCCAUGCCGCGUGCAGGAUGACGGCCCUAUGGGUUGUAAACUGCUUUUAUACAGGAAGAAACCCUCCUACGUGUAGGAGGUUGACGGUACUGUAAGAAUAAGCAUCGCUAACU
rnacentral:rRNA from 1 species